rnacentral:misc_RNA from 1 species
CGAAUUGCAAGAUUUCUUGAUCAUUGGGGGAUCAUCAACUACUGUGCUGUUCCUCCUAAAGAUGAGGCUCAAAAAGAUGGCACAUAUUUGUAUGAGGACACAAACGGUGAUCUCUGUGUUCCAGCAGCUGGUUUGAAGUCUAUUGACAGCUUAGUCCAAUUUGACAAGCCUAAAUGUCGGCUGAAGGCGAAAGAUAUUUAUCCUGAACUUGAGCGUGACUGCGAUGACGACUCUGAUUUUGACAACUCAAUCCGAGAAAUCUUGUCUGAAAUUAGAUGCAAUUGUUGUUCUCGGCCUGUUUCACUAGCGCAUUAUCAGUCACAGAAAGAGAUGGAUAUUCUAUUGUGUUUGGAUUGCUUCCAUGAGGGUAGGUUUAUUGCUGGUCACUCUAGCUUGGAUUUUGUCAAAGUGAGCUCUAUGAAAGAUUAUGGAGAUCUAGAUGGAGAUACUUGGACGGACCAGGAAACACUAUUGCUUCUUGAGGGAAUGCAACUCUACAAUGAAAACUGGAAUCAAAUUGCAGAACAUGUUGGCACCAAGUCAAAGGCACAGUGCAUCCUUCAUUUUGUCCGCCUGCCUUUGGAUGGUGCCGCAUUAGACAAUAUUGAACUUCCAGGUGCAUCUGGUCCCUCUAGUUCUAAGACAGGUGAAGAUCGUAAUAAAUCUCAUUCAACUUUGAAUGGGAAUCUUGCAGGACCAAGCACUGGAAACCUUGAUUCUGAUAGCAAAUUUCCAUUUGAGAACUGUGGAAAUCCAGUAAUGUCCCUGGUUGCUUUUCUGGCAUCUGCUGUUGGACCGAGAGUUGCUGCAGCAUGUGCCCAUGCA